rnacentral:tRNA from 1 species
GUUUUUAUAGUUUAACAAAAACAUUGGUCUUGUAAACCAAAAUUAAGAAACUUCUUUAAAAACU